GACGGAGGGGGCUAGCGUUGUUCGGAAUGACUGGGCGUAAAGAGCGCGUAGGCGGUUUUUUAAGUGAGGCGUGAAAGCCCUGGGCUUAACCCAGGAGGUGCGUUUCAUACUGAAAAGCUUGAGUACGAGAGAGGAAAGUGGAAUUCCUAGUGUAGAGGUGAAAUUCGUAGAUAUUAGGAAGAACACCAGUGGCGAAGGCGACUUUCUGGCUCGUAACUGACGCUGAGGCGCGAAAGCGUGGGGAGCAAACAGG
rnacentral:rRNA from 1 species